ACUAAGCGUACACGGUGGAUGCCCUGGCAGUCAGAGGCGAUGAAGGACGUGCUAAUCUGCGAUAAGCGUCGGUAAGGUGAUAUGAACCGUUAUAACCGGCGAUUUCCGAAUGGGGAAACCCAGUGUGAUUCGUCACACUAUCAUUAACUGAAUCCAUAGGUUAAUGAGGCGAACCGGGGGAACUGAAACAUCUAAGUACCCCGAGGAAAAGAAAUCAACCGAGAUUCCCCCAGUAGCGGCGAGCGAACGGGGAGCAGCCCAGAGCCUGAAUCAGUGUGUGUGUUAGUGGAAGCGUCUGGAAAGGCGCGCGAUACAGGGUGACAGCCCCGUACACAAAAAUGCACAUGCUGUGAGCUCGAUGAGUAGGGCGGGACACGUGGUAUCCUGUCUGAAUAUGGGGGGACCAUCCUCCAAGGCUAAAUACUCCUGACUGACCGAUAGUGAACCAGUACCGUGAGGGAAAGGCGAAAAGAACCCCGGCGAGGGGAGUGAAAAAGAACCUGAAACCGUGUACGUACAAGCAGUGGGAGCACAGAGCAAUCUGUGUGACUGCGUACCUUUUGUAUAAUGGGUCAGCGACUUAUAUUCUGUAGCAAGGUUAACCGAAUAGGGGAGCCGAAGGGAAACCGAGUCUUAACUGGGCGUUAAGUUGCAGGGUAUAGACCCGAAACCCGGUGAUCUAGCCAUGGGCAGGUUGAAGGUUGGGUAACACUAACUGGAGGACCGAACCGACUAAUGUUGAAAAAUUAGCGGAUGACUUGUGGCUGGGGGUGAAAGGCCAAUCAAACCGGGAGAUAGCUGGUUCUCCCCGAAAGCUAUUUAGGUAGCGCCUCGUGAAUUCAUCUCCGGGGGUAGAGCACUGUUUCGGCAAGGGGGUCAUCCCGACUUACCAACCCGAUGCAAACUGCGAAUACCGGAGAAUGUUAUCACGGGAGACACACGGCGGGUGCUAACGUCCGUCGUGAAGAGGGAAACAACCCAGACCGCCAGCUAAGGUCCCAAAGUCAUGGUUAAGUGGGAAACGAUGUGGGAAGGCCCAGACAGCCAGGAUGUUGGCUUAGAAGCAGCCAUCAUUUAAAGAAAGCGUAAUAGCUCACUGGUCGAGUCGGCCUGCGCGGAAGAUGUAACGGGGCUAAACCAUGCACCGAAGCUGCGGCAGCGACGCUGAUGCGUUGUUGGGUAGGGGAGCGUUCUGUAAGCCUGUGAAGGUGUGCUGUGAGGCAUGCUGGAGGUAUCAGAAGUGCGAAUGCUGACAUAAGUAACGAUAAAGCGGGUGAAAAGCCCGCUCGCCGGAAGACCAAGGGUUCCUGUCCAACGUUAAUCGGGGCAGGGUGAGUCGACCCCUAAGGCGAGGCCGAAAAGCGUAGUCGAUGGGAAACAGGUUAAUAUUCCUGUACUUGGUGUUACUGCGAAGGGGGGACGGAGAAGGCUAUGUUGGCCGGGCGACGGUUGUCCCGGUUUAAGCGUGUAGGCUGGUUUUCCAGGCAAAUCCGGAAAAUCAAGGCUGAGGCGUGAUGACGAGGCACUACGGUGCUGAAGCAACAAAUGCCCUGCUUCCAGGAAAAGCCUCUAAGCAUCAGGUAACAUCAAAUCGUACCCCAAACCGACACAGGUGGUCAGGUAGAGAAUACCAAGGCGCUUGAGAGAACUCGGGUGAAGGAACUAGGCAAAAUGGUGCCGUAACUUCGGGAGAAGGCACGCUGAUAUGUAGGUGAAGUCCCUCGCGGAUGGAGCUGAAAUCAGUCGAAGAUACCAGCUGGCUGCAACUGUUUAUUAAAAACACAGCACUGUGCAAACACGAAAGUGGACGUAUACGGUGUGACGCCUGCCCGGUGCCGGAAGGUUAAUUGAUGGGGUCAGCGCAAGCGAAGCUCUUGAUCGAAGCCCCGGUAAACGGCGGCCGUAACUAUAACGGUCCUAAGGUAGCGAAAUUCCUUGUCGGGUAAGUUCCGACCUGCACGAAUGGCGUAAUGAUGGCCAGGCUGUCUCCACCCGAGACUCAGUGAAAUUGAACUCGCUGUGAAGAUGCAGUGUACCCGCGGCAAGACGGAAAGACCCCGUGAACCUUUACUAUAGCUUGACACUGAACAUUGAGCCUUGAUGUGUAGGAUAGGUGGGAGGCUUUGAAGUGUGGACGCCAGUCUGCAUGGAGCCGGCCUUGAAAUACCACCCUUUAAUGUUUGAUGUUCUAACGUGGACCCGUAAUCCGGGUUGCGGACAGUGUCUGGUGGGUAGUUUGACUGGGGCGGUCUCCUCCUAAAGAGUAACGGAGGAGCACGAAGGUUGGCUAAUCCUGGUCGGACAUCAGGAGGUUAGUGCAAUGGCAUAAGCCAGCUUGACUGCGAGCGUGACGGCGCGAGCAGGUGCGAAAGCAGGUCAUAGUGAUCCGGUGGUUCUGAAUGGAAGGGCCAUCGCUCAACGGAUAAAAGGUACUCCGGGGAUAACAGGCUGAUACCGCCCAAGAGUUCAUAUCGACGGCGGUGUUUGGCACCUCGAUGUCGGCUCAUCACAUCCUGGGGCUGAAGUAGGUCCCAAGGGUAUGGCUGUUCGCCAUUUAAAGUGGUACGCGAGCUGGGUUUAGAACGUCGUGAGACAGUUCGGUCCCUAUCUGCCGUGGGCGCUGGAGAAUUGAGGGGGGCUGCUCCUAGUACGAGAGGACCGGAGUGGACGCAUCACUGGUGUUCGGGUUGUCAUGCCAAUGGCACUGCCCGGUAGCUAAAUGCGGAAGAGAUAAGUGCUGAAAGCAUCUAAGCACGAAACUUGCCCCGAGAUGAGUUCUCCCUGACUCCUUGAGAGUCCUGAAGGAACGUUGAAGACGACGACGUUGAUAGGCCGGGUGUGUAAGCGCAGCGAUGCGUUGAGCUAACCGGUACUAAUGAACCGUGAGGCUUAACC
rnacentral:rRNA from 1 species